UACGAAGGGGGCGAGCGUUGUUCGGAUUUACUGGGCGUAAAGGGCGCGCAGGCGGCUCAUUUUGUCAGGCGUGAAAGCCCCGGGCUUAACCUGGGAACUGCGUCCGAUACUGGGAGGCUUGAAUCCGGGAGAGGGAUGUGGAAUUCCAGGUGUAGCGGUGAAAUGCGUAGAUAUCUGGAGGAACACCGGUGGCGAAGGCGGCAUCCUGGACCGGUAUUGACGCUGAGGCGCGAAAGCGUGGGGAGCAAACAGG
rnacentral:rRNA from 1 species